UCCUCCCCCGUGAGACCAAUCGGCUGGGGAUUGUGGGUGNNNNNNNNNNNNNNNNNNNNNNNNNCCAAAAUUGGACUUUUUUGACCCAAAAUUGAACUUUUUGGUCCCAAAACUGGUGGUUUUUGGGCCUAAAUUUGGACUUUUUGGGCCUAAAAUUGGACUUUUUCGUCCCAAAAUUGGACUUUUUAGCCCCAAAAUUGGCCAUUUCAGCCCCAAAUUUCGCCAUUUUGGGCCCAGAAUUCCACAUUUUUUACCCCAAAGUGAGACUUUUUAGCCUCAAAAUUGGACAUUUUUGACCCAAAAUUGGACUUUUUUGACCCAAAACGUUCCUUUUUAGCCCCAAAAUCUGCUAUUUUGGCUCAUUUUUGACCCAAAAAGGGACUUUUUAGCCCCAAAAUUGGACAUUUUUGGCUCCAAAUCCAACAUUUUUGGCCCAAAUUUGGACUUUUUUGACCCAAAAUCGGCGUUUUUAGCCCCAAAAUGGUGCUUUGAAGUGGGAUUGAAAUAAAGGCUGUAAUAAAUGGGCGGAUUUUGGGCUGAAUUCGGCGGAUUUUGGUUAAUAAUGGCGGCUCGUGGGCGGGAUUUGGGGUCGGAUCUCGCGAGAUUUGGGGCUCGGUUGAAAACGGGGCGAAUUUGGGUCAUUUUGGGUCGAUUUGGGGCUUUUUGGUUAUUUCGCCUUCUCAUUGGGCGAGCCGCGCGUCCAUCACUCUGAGCCCCGCCUCUUCCUCCCCGUGAACCAAUCGCGGAUUGUGGGUGGGUUCAUUGCCGUGCUCUGAGCGCUCCCAUUGGCUGAGCGCUCUUCUGCCGCGCUCCUAUUGGCUGAGAAGCCGGUUUCCGGUUCCGGUGGGAGUCAGGAGCAAGAUGGCGGCUGUCGGGGAGGCCGUGACGCUGUUGAAGGAGCUUCGAGAGGAGGGCAUUUCGUUGCUGGGGGUGCGGGCGGCCGCCAUCUUGAAUUACGUCACCGACCUCGGCCUCGUGCUGAGAGCCAAGAGCGGGGGGAGGAGCUUGAGGGAAGAGCCCGCGUUGCCACGGAUACUGGAGAGCCGCGUGGUGCUGGAGAAGCUCCGCCCCCUGGAGCAGCGAAUCCGGUACCAGGUGGACAAACUGAUCCGGGCCGAUGGAACGACGGGUUUGAGCCAAAAUCCGACUUUUUAGCCCCAAAAUGCCCCUUUCUGACCCCAAAAACCCCCUUUUUCACCCCAAAAUGGCCAUUUCUGACCCCAAAAACCCCUUUUUAGCCCCAAAAUGGCCAUUUCUGACC
rnacentral:lncRNA from 1 species